AAAAAAAAAUCGAUCCUCCUUUUCUCUUCGAGCUCUCUUCACUGUUAACUUCCAAAUUUGAAUGGAAACCCUAACCAGAGACCAAUAUGUUUACAUGGCAAAACUCGCCGAGCAAGCCGAGCGCUAUGACGAGAUGGUCAACUUCAUGGAAAGUCUCGUGACUUCCUCUGCUCCAGUAACCGAACUCUCCGUUGAGGAGCGCAACCUCCUCUCCGUGGCUUACAAGAACGUGAUCGGUUCUCGUCGUGCCGCGUGGCGGAUCAUCUCAUCGAUUGAGCUGAAAGAGGAGAGCCGCAAGAACGAUGACCACGUGGCGAUGGUUAAAGAGUAUAAGUCGAAGUUGGAGAAUGAGUUAUCCGGUGUGUGUGGGACCAUACUGAAGUUGCUGGACUCGCACCUGGUGCCGUCGGCUACUUUGAGUGAAUCGAAAGUGUUUUUUUUGAAGAUGAAGGGAGACUAUAAUCGGUACUUGGCUGAGUUUAAGGUUAAUGACGAGAAGAAAGCCGCAGCUGAGGAAACAAUGUUAGCUUAUAAGGCAGCUCAGGGGUCAUGCCAAAUGGAUUUGUCUCUAAAUAAGCCAAACCGGAGAGUUUUUCAUUGUAUUUUAUUUUAUUUUUUAAGUUUGUGUGGUCGUGGAUGUGUAAUUUUGGUUUAUUUACUUGAGUUUGAAGGAAAUCGCACUGGCUGAGCUAUCACCCACACAUCCGAUAAGGUUGGGGCUGGCACUCAAUUUCUCUGUGUUUUACUAUGAAAUUCUGAAUUCAUCGGAGAAAGCUUGUAGCCUUGCAAAACAGAUUAAGAAGCAGAGAUAUGAUGGUUGCAAGCUGUUGAUGCCUAGAUGUUUAAACGAUCUUUAAUUACUAUCAUGCUACAUAUAUGUGUGUAUAACCUGAUAGCAAUUAAAGAUCAUUUAAUCAUCUAGGUAAAAAGCAUGAUAUUUUACCAUGCUUAAUUUUGGAAGAGCUAUUGCUCGAUCCUUUUAUUGGCCUUUGAGGAAGCCAUUGCUGAGCUGGACACUUUGGGUGAAGAGUCCUACAAGGAUAGCACUCUCAUCAUGCAAUUGCUGAGAGACAACCUCACUCUUUGGACUUCAGACAUGCAGGAGCAGAUGGAUGAGGCU